UGGGGAAUUUUGGACAAUGGGCGAAAGCCUGAUCCAGCAAUGCCGCGUGUGUGAAGAAGGCCUUCGGGUUGUAAAGCACUUUUGCCCGGAAAGAAAUCCUUGGCUCUAAUACAGUCGGGGGAUGACGGUACCGGAAGAAUAAGCACCGGCUAACUACGUGCCAGCAGCCGCGGUAAUACGUAGGGUGCAAGCGUUAAUCGGAAUUACUGGGCGUAAAGCGUGCGCAGGCGGUUUGCUAAGACCGAUGUGAAAUCCCCGGGCUCAACCUGGGAACUGCAUUGGUGACUGGCAGGCUAGAGUAUGGCAGAGGGGGGUAGAAUUCCACGUGUAGCAGUGAAAUGCGUAGAGAUGUGGAGGAAUACCGAUGGCGAAGGCAGCCCCCUGGGCCAAUACUGACGCUCAUGCACGAAAGCGUGGGGGAGCAAACAGGAUUAGACACCCUGGUAGGUCCACGCCCUAAACGAUGUCAACUAGUUGUUGGGGAUUCAUUUCCUUAGUAACGUAGCUAACGCGUGAAGUUGACCGCCUGGGGAGUACGGUCGCAAGAUUAAAACUUAAAGGAAUUGACGGGGGUCAUAGCUGUUU
rnacentral:rRNA from 1 species